GACGAACGCUGGCGGCGUGCUUAACACAUGCAAGUCGAGCGAUGAAGCACCUUCGGGUGUGAAUUAGCGGCGAACGGGUGAGGAACACGUGAAGAAUCUGCCUUCAACUCUGGGAUAACUCCGGGAAACCGGGGCUAAUACCGGAUAUGAGCCUUGAUCGCAUGAUCGAGGCUGGAAAGUUUUUCGGUUGAAGAUGACUUCGCGGCCUAUCAGCUUGUUGGUGAGGUAAUGGCUCACCAAGGCGACGACGGGUAGCCGGCCUGAGAGGGCGACCGGCCACACUGGGACUGAGACACGGCCCAGACUCCUACGGGAGGCAGCAGUGGGGAAUAUUGGGCAAUGGAGGAAACUCUGACCCAGCGACGCCGCGUGAGGGAUGAAGGCCUUCGGGUUGUAAACCUCUUUCAGUAGGGAAGAAGCGAGAGUGACGGUACCUACAGAAGAAGCACCGGCUAACUAUGUGCCAGCAGCCGCAGUAA
rnacentral:rRNA from 1 species